UGGACCCUGGGAGGCUUCUGAGGUUCUGAGGGACUCAUCUUUAUAAUGUACUUCAAUUAGUGGACGGCCAGACCCUGAGGGGCCGGACUACACUAUCCAGAUCACCGUUAAAGUAUCCUUACAUAUUGGAUGUGAGUUAAACAGACUCUGGACUACAUUAAUACAACCUGUUGUCUAGAGCACCACUAUUUAGAAGACUGCCAUUUGUUUCUCCUGGCAUCAACCACGAUCACGUAUGCGCUUUAUAUCUUGCCGUACUCCAAUAUCUACGGUUGAUGGCUGUCUGUGAGUUUCACAUGCCCGCUAUAUCAAGAUGCCCGAUCUUGUAUUUAUCCCUUUAGACCUCCCGGGAAUACUAUCUGGUCCAAUUCCCUUUCAUUUUUAACUUUAUAUGUUAUUUGACACCGCCUGCUAGACGGCUACCUGAUAGGGAUGCCAACAUUGUUUGGGUCUCCUCCCGUCUGACAUGGUCUUUGCUCUAUUAUCCUUAUUGGUGAUUUAUCUUAUACGUAUCCACCCCCUGAUGAUCCCACAUGGUGGGGGAAACGCGUCGGGGCUUUACACAGACUUGAUCUGUGACAUAAUUUGACUAUCCUUCAUUCGGUGUCUUUAUGUAAUUAUAGUUUAGUUUAUUGCAUCGUGUACCUGUUGGUCCUCUGCAUCAACAGGGCUGUAUACGCCGUGCACUGUGUGUUAUUGAUCCUCC